rnacentral:misc_RNA from 1 species
AAGUCGUAACAAGGUAACCGUAGGUGAACCUGCGGUUGGAUCAUUAAUAAAUGAUUGUUUUGUUGAGCUCUUUCACUAGAGCUCCAAAAUAAACUUACACCAUGUGCACUAAAUAGUCUUUGGUCUCUUGUAUUAGAGACCAACUUAUUUAAAACUUUUAUUUAAAUUUUGCCUGAAAUUAUUAUAUAAAUAAUUAACAA